CAGUAGCCACGGGAAUACGUAGGUGGCAAGCGUUGUCCGGAAUUAUUGGGCGUAAAGGGCUCGCAGGCGGUUUCUUAAGUCUGAUGUGAAAGCCCCCGGCUCAACCGGGGAGGGUCAUUGGAAACUGGGAAACCUGAGUGCAGAAGAGGAGAGUGGAAUUCCACGUGUAGCGGUGAAAUGCGUAGAGAUGUGGAGGAACACCAGUGGCGAAGGCGACUCUCUGGUCUGUAACUGACGCUGAGGAGCGAAAGCGUGGGGAGCGAACAGGAUUAGAUACCCGAGUAGUCCCUGUCUCUUAUAC
rnacentral:rRNA from 1 species